GACGAACGCUGGCGGCGUGCUUAACACAUGCAAGUCGAACGGAAAGGCCCUGCUUUUGUGGGGUGCUCGAGUGGCGAACGGGUGAGUAACACGCGAGUAACAUGCCCUUGACUUUGGGAUAACUUCAGGAAACUCGGGCUAAUACCGGAUAGGAGCUCCUGCUGCAUGGUGGGGGUUGGAAAGUUUCGGCGGUUGGGGAUGGACUCGCGGCUUAUCAGCUUGUUGGUGGGGUAGUGGCUUACCAAGGCUUUGACGGGUAGCCGGCCUGAGAGGGUGACCGGCCACAUGGGGACUGAGAUACGGCCCAGACUCCUACGGGAGGCAGCAGUGGGGAAUAUUGCACAAUGGGCGGAAGCCUGAUGCAGCAACGUCGCGUGCGGGAUGACGGCCUUCGGGUUGUAAACCGCUGUCGCCUGUGACGAAGCGUGAGUGACGGUAAUGGGUAAAGAAGCACCGGCUAACUACGUG
rnacentral:rRNA from 1 species